GCUGCUGCGGGAACUCAACUCCACCCUGAUCGGUUAGGUCACAUGCGCCGAUGUGGCACCUAAGAGGUGAAGAAUGUAGGGGUGGCUGGUUGUGACACUGCGCUCAAAAGUGUGUGAUGCAUCCUCGCCAUUAGGAGAUUGUGUCUGAACCAUUGAGGAGCACAGAGCUGACAGCUGAUCUACUGUAAAAUGUUCAAUAACAAUCCAGGAAAUUAUCUUCCAGGCACCUAUGUGCCACCCCAGGUGUUACCACCACCAGGGUCCUACCCUGGGGUUUGUCCCCCUGGAAUGGCUCAGUAUCCUGCAGUGAUGAACCCAUCCCUCGUUGGGCCUCCUGCAGGGUUCCCAGUCUAUGGCCCUGUAUACAACCCAUCACUUUGUGUAGAUGGGCACUGCUAUAGAGAGGGUCAUGGUCACCAUCAUGGCCACCAUCAUGGUCACCAUCAUGGCCAUCAUCAUGGCCACCACCAUGGCCACCAUCAUGGACACUGCUAAUGAAAAUGGGUGGCUUCUGUGUGUGAGCAGUCACUCAGAUUAGAGCAUCACUGAAGGUAUGAAAAAAGGACUCAUCUACCAAGGGACCAUCCAUUCCCAGACUCUUCUUUUCUUUUUAAAAUUUGUUUUCUGUCCUUUCAUUGCUGUUGUGGCAAUGUAAACAGUACUGUACUUAAUAUUUCAGAAAAACCCAUUCCCUAGAGUAACUCUCCCCACCGAGAACCAUAGUUUUAAGGUUUGAGAGUGUGCUGUUUAAAUAUAUAUACAGGAGUCUGACUUCCUGGAAUUUGUUUCUGAGUCAUUUUUUUAACAUGCAGCAUUAAAAUUCUUUGAGAAAUUUACAACUGUGGAGGAUGUGUCUAAACAGUUCAUUGAAAGCCUUUGACAUUUUUUUAUUAAUAAAUAAAUACAUAUAUGGAAUCUGUCA
rnacentral:lncRNA from 1 species